CAUAAGCUAAUCAGCAAUUAAAUAAAGCUGCUUGGAAUUAACAUCCCCGAGAGACAGGAGAGCAAAGAGAGCAAGCUAAAGCUGUUCAGCCUGGAAAAUCCACAGCCUAGACUUUAGGUUUAGGCUAACCCGAAUAUAAGGCAUGCUCUUACCAUGAUGAGAUUGGAGCCUCGCUAAGAUCUAAGCAAAACAGCUGCUGCCCCUGCCUCUCCCUGCAACUUUAUAGCCCAGGAAGGCUUGACUCCACCUGAAUAUAAAGAAGCUUUCUGCUAGCUUAAAGGAGCAGAGCUCCUUUUUCCCCCGUGCAUCCCCAGAAAUAGCAAGGGAGAAAAGGGUCUCGUGGAGCCUGGCUGGUGCAAAUUUGGGGAUUGAACAGCCUGGGGUACAGGGCAAGGAGACAUCUGUUUCCCAAGGAGAAUGGUGAAAAUGGGGAACUCUGGAAGUUUUGAGUGUGAAAUCUUCAUUUGUUGGCUGUCACCCGAGCUCCGCGUGACUCCGGGUCGAAAUUUGGGGCGGCUGAUUUCUUCUCUCUUGGGAAACUGGAAAGCAAAGGGGAGGAGUGCUGUAGGUGGUGACACGAUGACAGAGACAACCUGCCUGUGAUUUCGGCUCCGGGACGUAUUUAGAACAGCAUCGAGGAGAAGGACAGGGAGCAACCCCCCAGAGGACCCACUGCGGCAGCUCCCGGCCUUUUUAUAGCCAGACCUCACAGCUGCUGCCUCCUUUUUCCCACUCCAGCAUCCUAAAUAUUGCCUCCUGGCUCUGCCUGGUCCUCCUGUUGCCGUCCCCACCAUGCACCAGCUGCUCUAAGCCUCCACGGGGCAAAUCCGUCCCCAAAACUCGCCGAAUGAGUGUCCUCGGGCGGAGGGGAGAGCUGGUUUGUGACCACGCUCCGGGCAAGCACUUGGAUCAUCGGGCUGCUGGGGAAGAGAAAACCCUGCUAUCAAAAGGGUUUGGCCCUGGGAAGAGAAAAUAUUUAGUUUCAGCCAAUAUUAAUUGUUGGUGUUGCUCUAACAGGAAAAAGUGGGGGAAAAAAGCUCUAAUUUUGCUUCAGGCUGAGCCAAAUGCAGGUUUUUGGGGGUGUUUUUGGUUAAUUAACUGAACUGAAAAAAACAGUGAUUUACGUAGCUCCCAAAUCCACCAUUUUAGGAGUAACUUGCUCCCGUCUUUAAUUGCUCGCCCAGUUAAAUUCGCUGCCUCUUUCACACGUGAAUUUCCCUAGCAUCAGCUUUCAGCCACUGGCUCUCCUCCUGCCUUUUUCUGGGGAGCGAAGGCGGCCAACUUUCCACCCCCUCGUCCCCCCUGAAGGCAUUUGUUGUCUUUUCAAGUGAAUCUCGUGCUGGCUGAAUAUGCAGAACGACAAUCCUAAAGCUCUCCAUCCUCUGCGUUAACCUGAACCACCGGAUCCCGUUCCCCAGAAGGUCUCCAUCUGUCCCCAUUGUCCUCCAGGGACGUAAAACCCCAACCAACAUUAAUGGGAACACCCCAGAGCCCUGGACAAACCUGGUCUCAUCCCCUAUUUUAGGCUUGCUGGGGCUGCUGCUCAAGUGCUGCUCCUGACGUUGGUUGUCCUUUAUCACCACUCAGGGAGGCCCCAGCCCCAGCUCCGGCAUCUGUUACUGAUAACCAGAGAUGAUUUAUCCAGGCGCUAGCCCGGCUAUCUCCAGCGUAUGCCUGCGUGUGCUUCUGUCCAUGCAGAGUUUGCUUUUUAUCCUGCUGCUUCCCCAUUUUGUGUGUCCGAAGGAUACAAGGAGGGACGACUCCACUUGGUUAGGACAAAUCCACUUACGUGGUUUCCUACCCCUCCUUCCUUGGCUCCUGCAAACACCUCCUUGCAAGACAAGUGCAGCAAUUUUGGAUGCAGGGGGAUCCGGUAUACUCAAAAAAAUAUAAAAUAAAAAAUCAGUUAAUCUAUCCCAAAAAUAAAUGAUCAAUACACCCCUGUCAACAGAAGCAUUCAGCAUCAGUAGGAACUCGCAGCAUCCUCCGCCGCAAUGCAAAAAGUUUCCAGCAAAAAGUGGUUAAAACCGAAAGCCUCCGUCGCGAGGCUAUCAGGUUGGGAUGUUUUGACAUUCCAGCUUCUCCCCUCCCCUCUCCCCUCGCUCUCCUUUCCAAAUAAAACCCUGGCAGACCCGUCCCCAAUUGGAGUGGAACCGCAUAUUUCGGCAGCGCGCCCUUCCAGCAGAAUUCCCCCAUCCAGGCUCUGCCUCGAAGCCCUUCCCGUAACCGAGGGUGGAGAAAGCACCUUCUCUGGAUCUGUGUCUGCACAGCUGUGCUUCUACUCUGCCUCCCCGAAAGCAGAUAGCAACCAGCUGCGGGGCAGGGGCUUCGUCGUGGUGGGGUUAGGCUGUAGCAAGAGCCCACGAGGAUGGAUUUUUAUUCAUUCUCCAGUUGCAAAGGGUUAUUUCUACUCUUCUUCCUUUAAUUAGCUUCAAAGUAACGAGGUAAAUGCUUUAAGGAAAAGCUUUCUGCUCAAGUAACUUGGAGAGAGAUGGAUUUUUAUUCUUGAAUGGGUUUCAGAGUGGCUGUGAUGUGUCAGGCAAAGGUCUGCCUCCCGGUGCCCUGCUCCCAGCCAUGGCCGUGAGCAGCUGCUUAGAGAAGGGUAAAGGGCAGGGGAAAUGGAUAUAACAUCCCCUGAAGUCUCUCCGCUGAUAUUUUAUUCAGCUCGGGGACUUUCUGAACUGGCGUGUGGUUUCCACACGCUCCGUAGCACUCAAUGAGUUUCCCUGCCACGAGUUUGUCUCGUGCCCUUGAACGUUGGCCAACCUUAGCGUCAGCUCCCGGGCACUUUUCCUUUCAAUUUGUUCAGCAGGACUCCGAGUGACCGGCCUCCUGCACUUCCCUCUCCGUCCAGCUGAAGCCAUCCCAGCCCUCGAGCACGUGUGUUUGUGUGCACAUUCCUCGCAGAAAGGCAAGUGGCAGAGCUGUGUCUUUUCCUCUGCCAGCGAUGUGACUUUAUCUAGCUCUGCGACGGAUCCCCGCAGCUCUUUGCUCCCUUAGUAGCUGAUCCUACCUCCAGUCUUUUAAGUUUUAAUUUUAAAACAAAAGAAACUGAGCCAGCCUCUCUCCAUCAUUCCCUGCUCCCCAGGAAACUGCCCUGUGCUGCAUUUCAGCGUGGAUUCGAAUCUUUAUUGACCCACUUCUGUGUGAGGCACCUUUAUUUCCCACCCCUCUGCAUAUGGGAAGCAUCGAGAGCAAAGCUGGGGUAAAAAAAAAUCCUUGUCAAUCUCACAAGCAGUCUAAAAACUCCCCCUUAAUGCUUCCCUCCGUGUUUGAUUUCGGAGGUACCAACGCUGCCGUCGGUGGAGCUGAAAGCUGAAGCUUUGCAGCAAGCGUUUGGGAAGAAUUGCAUUUCAGUGCAGAUCAUUUAAUUGGUAUUAUUGGGAUUAAUUUGAAGAUUCAGUGUACAGAGAUCUGUUCCGUGCUGGAAAAGAUGGGUAGACACAUUUGACUGUCUGGGAUGUUCUUGGCAGCAGUGGGAUGUUCUCGUUUCUGCACGUUAUCCUUCUAGAAAAAGGAUAGGGAGCUGCUGAAAAUAAAAUCACAGCAGCAUCAAAAGGACAUCGUAAAGCUAGAGACCUGUUUCCCUGCUGUGCUCAGCUGUGCGGAGAAGUUUUGGGCAAGAGCCCUUCCCAUGUCACAACGCUCACCCAUGACUGACGUUUCGGAUUGCUUGCAGCUCGCGGGGUUUUUUCUACCGGCCCUAAAGCUCUGAGAAGGAUAAAUGCUGUCAUUGAGCCUAUGUAAACAAGGAGUUUGAAGAUGUAAGAACAAAACUCUUCUUCCUUCAUCUGCCGAGAGAUGGAACGCGUUGGAAAAACACACGCGAAGGCUGCGCUGUUAUUAAAACUUGCCUUUUUUUACCUUGCUCAGCUCUUGGGCUGAGACAAAACCCAAACGAGGCCCAACCAUAACACCUGGAGAAGGUGCAAGGAGGGAGGAUGGCAGAGCAGAGCGCCGUGGAUUAUCCAAACUAAUUUGCUUAAUUUUCUCCUAAAAGGAAUGAAUUCUGCGUGGUGCACAGCAGUUGGGAAAUGCAUCACUCCAGGCUCACAGCAGCAGCUCGGCCAGCUAGGAUCUCUCUUAAGCCUCACCUGAAGAGCUCUGAAACCUUCCACAAGUUGCCUGUGUCCCUUGGCAGAGUUCCCGUUGUGACCGUGAACCCCAAAUAUUACCUAGCUUAAUGCUCGCUGACUACCUGGAAUGCGAGGGCAAUUUUCAUGGCGUUUCAUGGUGUUAUUUUCUAGGUUUUUCAAGAAAAUAGAUUUUUUUUUGUAUUAUUUUUUUUAACGGCUCUGAAUACUGAUGGUGACACACACCCUAAUCAUGUGCAAUUUAUGGCCGAAGGUUUUAUGGCACCAUAAACGUCUAAGCCGCCUCGGAUCCUCCAGAUGACUACUUUCAAAGUAGUGUAAGUGCUUCGACGAGCAACGUUGCCAAGUGCAUAAAAUUCGGCAGCACAACUCGACGCUUUGAAUCCUGAAAGAGAUCGGUGUCAAUGAAGCGUGCUUUAAUCUUCGCCUAAUUAAGUCGGCUUGUUUAAGAACCACAAGUCCUUAAUGCAUGUGUUACUAAUUCCCUCUCUAAUCCAAAAAAGAAAGAAAAAAAAAGAAAUCUUUCCAAAAGGGCACAGUCCUAACAAGCCAGACUCUCCAUUUAGGUCAGCGGAGUCUCCACUCCUCCUUGCUGAGAGCUGGGGAGAGAAAACCUUGCAGGCUAAAGCCCUCCUUUGAGCAAAAUCUUUUCUGGCCAAGAAGACGAGAAGCAAAAGCUCAAAUCUCAGAUUUCUCCUGGAGCACCACCAGCUCCUGGAAAUGCAGUGAAACCCUUUUGUAACCCCUGGCAGCACUCGCUAGCAGGUGGAUGCUGCAGCAUCAGUGGGACUCUCAGCACUUGUGAGACCCCAUGGAUAUCGUGUGGGCACAAUCUUCAGCCCUAAUUUGUCGUUGACAAGCACUGAUUUAAUCGUUGGUGGAGUAAACUGCCUCAGACACCACCAGGGACUUGGCCAUAAAGUCAGGACGCUCCUGAGAGGCAGGAGAGAGACUGGUUGUACCAAGCAGUGUUGGGCUUAAUGCCUGCCUUUGAGAUAAUAUUGUUAUAUACCACACUAAAUCCACUUACACUUAUUAAAAUACCAAGCUCUGAUGAGCGCAUAAAUGCACAAGGAGCAGUUAUCAGGGCUCU